rnacentral:rRNA from 1 species
AGCCGGGGGAUCUUCGGACCUCGCGCUAUUGGAUGAGCCUAAGUCGGAUUAGCUUGUAGGUAGGGUAACGGCCUACCUAGGCGACGAUCCGUAGCUGGUCUGAGAGGACGAUCAGCCCCACUGGAACUGAGACACGGUCCAGACUCCUACGGGAGGCAGCAGUGGGGGAAUAUUGGACAAUGGGCGCAAGCCUGAUCCAGCAAUGCCGCGUGUGUGAAGAAGGCCUGCGGGUCGUAAAGCACUUUCAGUGGAGAAGAAAAGCCUACGGUUAAUAACCGUGAGUCUUGACGUAACCCACAGAAGAAGCACCGGCUAACUCCGUG